AGGAUUUGUUGUGAGGAGCUUGCUAAACACCCUCCAAGUGUUGCAUUUACAUUUGGUGGAAUUUUCGUGACGCAUUGUAAGGUGGUGUCUAGGAGACCUAGUUCUUAAUAUCCAUGCAGCCAGGUUUUGCGGAUAUAGAUAUUAACUCGUCCACUUAGCGUAUGGGAUGCUAUGAUUGGAGUACAUCACGACAGUCAUAAGUCAUGGACUCAUGGGUAGUCUGCAUUGUGGUUAUUUUUUUUUAUUACUCGUGUCCUAUGUGGCAUAUGUAUUUGUUGAGCCUAUAAUUUUAGUAUGUACUUAGUGUAAUAAGUUUUAUAAGCUUUAAUAAGUUAGACAUGUAAAUAGCUCUUGUUGUUGAUAACAAUUAUGUAUUAGAUGUAUUUCCGCUUUUGA